rnacentral:rRNA from 2 species
GACUCUCGGCAAUGGAUAUCUCGGCUCUUGCAUCGAUGAAGAACGUAGCGAAAUGCGAUACUUGGUGUGAAUUGCAGAAUCCCGUGAACCAUCGAGUCUUUGAACGCAAGUUGCGCCCGAAGCCAUUAGGUUGAGGGCACGCCUGCCUGGGCGUCACAC